rnacentral:rRNA from 1 species
AGCGGCGAACGGGUGAGUAACACGUAGGUGAUCUGCCCAUCAGACGGGGACAACGAUUGGAAACGAUCGCUAAUACCGGAUAGGACGAAAGUUUAAAGGUGCUUCUGGCACCGCUGAUGGAUGAGCCUGCGGCGCAUUAGCUAGUUGGUAGGGUAAAGGCCUACCAAGGCGACGAUGCGUAGCCGACCUGAGAGGGUGAACGGCCACACUGGGACUGAGACACGGCCCAGACUCCUACGGGAGGCAGCAGUAGGGAAUCUUCGGCAAUGGGCGAAAGCCUGACCGAGCAACGCCGCGUGAAUGAUGAAGGCCUUCGGGUUGUAAAAUUCUGUUAUAAGGGAAGAACGACUUUAGCAGGAAAUGGCUAGAGUGUGACGGUACCUUAUGAGAAAGCCACGGCUAACUACGUGCCAGCAGCCGCGGUAAUACGUAGGUGGCGAGCGUUAUCCGGAAUUAUCGGGCGUAAAGAGCGCGCAGGUGGUUGAUUAAGUCUGAUGUGAAAGCCCACGGCUUAACCGUGGAGGGUCAUUGGAAACUGGUCGACUUGAGUGCAGAAGAGGGAAGUGGAAUUCCAUGUGUAGCGGUGAAAUGCGUAGAGAUAUGGAGGAACACCAGUGGCGAAGGCGGCUUCCUGGUCUGUAACUGACACUGAGGCGCGAAAGCGUGGGGAGCAGACAGGAUUAGAUACCCUGGUAGUCCACGCCGUAAACGAUGAGUGCUAAGUGU